rnacentral:rRNA from 1 species
UACGUAGGGGGCAAGCGUUGUCCGGAUUCAUUGGGCGUAAAGAGCUCGUAGGCGGCUUGGCAAGUCGGGUGUGAAAACUCCAGGCUCAACCUGGAGACGCCACCCGAUACUGCCAUGGCUUGAGUCCGGUAGGGGACCACGGAAUUCCUGGUGUAGCGGUGAAAUGCGCAGAUAUCAGGAAGAACACCCGUGGCUAAGGCGGCUCUCUAGUACGGUACUGACGCUGAGACGCGAAAGCGUGGGGAGCGAACAGG